UACAGAGGGGGCAAGCGUUAAUCGGAAUUACUGGGCGUAAAGCGUGCGUAGGCGGUUACAUAAGUCGGGUGUGAAAGCCCCGGGCUCAACCUGGGAAUUGCAUUCGAGACUGCGUAGCUAGGGUGCGGAAGAGGGAAGCGGAAUUUCCGGUGUAGCGGUGAAAUGCGUAGAUAUCGGAAGGAACACCAGUGGCGAAAGCGGCUUCCUGGUCCAGCACCGACGUUCAGGCACGAAAGCGUGGGGAGCAAACAGG
rnacentral:rRNA from 1 species